rnacentral:sRNA from 1 species
GAGGCUGAAAGAUUGCGUGCGAUCAA